GGUAAGAAAAUUUUGUUUGCAAAUCUAUGAAAUAAAUUCACAUUUAUGUAUCCUAUUAUAAAAAUGAUGAAGACAAAAUAAUAUUUGGGGAUUCAGACUCUGUUUAAGAUACUUAGUGUGCCAUAGUAGUUAAUAAAUAUAAAGAACUUGAAUGAUAGAAAGAAUAGAAAAAGAAGUUGAUGGUCUUCUGUUUAAUAAUCCUAAACAAUUGAAAUCAGCACUAUGAAAUGGUGCAAACAGACAUAAUUCAGGAUUGAAAUUCAAACUGACAGCUAUGGUAAUUCUAGGACAGUGGGGGAAACACGUAUUGAAGCUUGGUGAGAGAUUUUUGCAGUCUAGGUCUGAGACAAAGGGGAAAAUGAGAUGAAAAUUUCCAUUGCAUCACGUCAACCCUUUGUUAAUUAUGAACAUUGGGUGAAUAUGUGAAUUUUUAACUAUAAAAACAUGUCUUUUGGGGAAUAUAGCACUUUGCACCAGUUUUCACAUAAAACACAAGGUUUUUUUGAAUCAUAGUUGCACAUUCUCAAAGCUAAAUAUCAUAGAUUAAAAGUUAAAAUGUAACUUACAUAUUUAAGUAAAGCAUCUCAAUUUUUAAAAAGACAUUUAACAUUCCAUUAGGAGAGACUGGAUUUCCAAAAUACAUUUUCAAUUAUAUUAGAAUAUUUUGAAGCAGUUAUAACUAGCAUUUUCAAACAGUUUGCUUUUAAUAUACUGCAAAUUAUACUUUAUUUGCUCUUGACAACAUUGUAGAAAACAAAGACUAGGUUUUUAAAACUGUCUAACCAAUAUGAUGAAUGUCAGUCACUUAAAAAAAAAAACCACUGUAGCAUAAACACAUACUGUAUACAGCUUUUAUUCAGAAUUAGAAUAAUUGAAUCAAUGACAGUGAUUUGCCAGGAUGUCAAAUCUCUCCAUCAUAUCCUGUCACUACCAGUUUAUUUUUUGUGAUCAAAAUCAAAAAGACAACUAUUUUGUCACCCGCUAUUUCAUUAGUACUAAAAAAUUGGGUUUAUUCUUCUAUUUUUUUUAGAAUGUCUGGUUUAUUUUUUUAUCUCUUUUAAUUCUAAAGACACAAAUUCUUCCCCAUUUUCUUUUCAAAAUAAAGUUUCAGAAUUGAUCUGUCAGUUAAAAUUAAAGGGCUUUUAUAUUAAGCAAGGGUGCUUUUAAGAUUUAAAGCAACUUCAAAAAAUCAAUUUAGUCCAUAGAUAAUAAAUAAUGUUAUGCAGAUAUUCCACAAAAGCUUUGCUGUGUCCUUUGAAUGCAUCAUGAACAAAGUGAAUAAAUUCAAAUGAAUAUUUUAGUCAGUUAUUAUUUUAAUAAC
rnacentral:lncRNA from 1 species